rnacentral:lncRNA from 1 species
GCUCCUGAGGCAGUCGGAGAAAGAUGAUAUUUGCAUUACGUUUCUUUGUCUGCUAGCCAUUUGACGAAGGAUGUUAGAUCUGGUGUUCCUAUCAUAUGUGUCCUCACCAGGGACUGGGUCCGAGAUUUUGAAGAGCUAUGGAGGAGUUGUCUAAUGGGAAAUGACACAACGCCUGCAAAACGAUGGGAUUGGCACAAUCGAUUGAAGAUGUUCAGUGGAAUCGCAAGGUUCUUACUGAUGUUCGCUAUGUACCGAUUUGAAGAAAAAUCUCAUUUCUUGGGAGAUUUUGAUCCAAAGGGGUACAAGAUUAUCUUGGGAAGGUGGAGUUCUGAAGGUGUUCGUGGUGCUCUUGUUAUUUUGAAGGGCACUCGUAGAGGAAAUCUCUACUUCUCGAUGCGGAGGACUGUACAGGGAGAGUGCGGUCUCCAAAGUUCAAACGGAAUAGACACUUACAGAUUAGGAAUAUUGCGAUAGGGAAUACUGGAGAAAAAGGCUUUGCAAACUUUGGUACGUCAGAGUUCUGAAGGGCUAAGAAUGGAAAAUUGAAUUAUUGAGCAUUGUGUGCUUGGAAAGCAGAAAAGGGUGAAGUUUGACACAUCAAUUAAUCAGACUGAAGGCAUUUUGGAUUAUGGUCAUUCCGAUGUCUGGGGGCCUUUAAAAAUUGCAUCUUUGGGCGGCUCACGCUAUUUUGGAACCCUUCGUGAUGACUUUUCCAGAAGAGUUUGGGUUAUACACGAUGCCGCACAAGGAGGAAAGUCCUUGAAAUCUUCUUGAAAGGGAGACGAUGAUCGAAAUCCAGAUGGUGAAAGAUCAAGAAGCUUUCAGAUUGAUAAUGGUGGAGAUACAGGUCAGAUCCUUAUUCGAGGUUUGUUCCAAAGAGGGAUUUUCAGACACUUUACUAUUAGCGCCGCCGCAACAAAAUGGAGUUGCAGAACGGAUGAAACCGCACCUUAGAGAUAAAGUUCGAGUAUGAUAUGCAAUGCUGGUUGAGCAAAGCAUUUUGGGCUGAAGCAAUAAACUAUGCCGCACACCUUAUCAAAGACUUCCUUCCACGGCUAUUGAGGGAAAACUCUUAUGAAGGUGGGUAGGAAAAUGUCCUGACUGAUUAUGAUAGUCUUCACAUAUUUGGAUGUCCUGCAUACUUUCAUGUAAAGUAGAUAAGUUGGAUCCCAGAGCCAAGAAAGCUAUCUUUGUAGGCUUUAGCACUGGGAUAAAAGGAUAAGACUAUGGUGUCCCGAAAUGAAGAAAAUUAUUAAUAGUCGGGAUGUAUAUUUGAUGAUAUGUGAGAAAUGAAGGAAUUCUGAGAAAGUGAAGAAAAAAAGAAAACUCGAGUCCAACAUCCACCCAGCAGGUGGAGACUUGUGUGGUCAAAUAGUGCCGACUAAAAACUGUUCAGACAUUUUGAUAUUCCCCCCCCCACCCCCAUGACGAGGAAUCUGAUGAUAUCGACACUACACCAGAUCUGAAAGAGGCUCAUCUUCACAACCAGAAGAAUCCCAUCGGCGAACGAGUAGGCAAAACGAGGAUUCGUAUUCGACCUGCUACGAUAUACUGUUACUAUGGCAUAUGCACUCCAUUGAUUGAGGGAGUCCUAUUUGUACUUACAAAGAUGCUGUGAGUCUGCAGGGACUGAAAAUCCAAAAUGGAAUAGGGCUAUGGAUGAAGAAAUGUUGAAGUCGCUUCACAAGAAUCAAAUUGGGAGUUGGUGCCGUGCAUAAAGAAAGAAAGCGACGGUGCAAGUGGAUAUAUGGCAAGAAGCGAAGAUACUCAGGAAGUAGUCAGAUUCAAAGCUAGAUGGUGGCUAAAGGCUACGCACAGAGGAAGGAAUAGCACUAACGAGGUAUUUCUCCUGUGUGAAGCAUUCGUCUAUUCGCAUUUUUGCUAGCUUUGGUUGCUCAGUUUAAUCUUGAGUUAGCUCAAUCGAUGUCAAAACCGCUUUUCUACAUGGGAUUUGGAAGAAGAGAUUUACAUGUCACAGCCAGAUGGGUUCCAGGUGCCGGAAAAGAACAUUUUGGCAUGUCGGGUUUGUUAAAGAUAGUCUCUAAUGAGUUUUUGAAGCAGUCUCCAAACAGUGUGGUAUAAAAGGUUUUUGAUUGUUGCAUGGACGAGCAUGGGUAUACACGGAGUCAUGUUUGUCAUUGUGUAUAUUUCGCAAAAACUACAAGAUGGUUCCAUUGAUUUAUUUGCUCUUACAUGUGGAGAUAGGUUAAUUGCAAUCUAAGAGCACGGUGGCGAUUGAACCGAUUGAAAGCUCAACUCAGUCGGAAAUUGAAAAGAAGGAUCUUGGACCGUAGCCAAAAACAAUUUUGGGAAUGGAGAUUAAGGAGAGACAGAUGUGAAAGGUACGGUUGUUGACUCAAUCUCACUAUCUGAAAAAGGUUUUAAAGAGAUCUUGGAAUUGUAGUUCAAACUAACAAAACCUUGUUAUAGUACACCGUUGGCCUCCACUUCAGAUUAAGUGCUUCUAUGUCUCCUCACACAAGAAGAUGAGCGAAAGCAUAGGAGAAUAUUCCUUAUGCUAAUGCUUGUUGGUGCCUUGAGUAGCAAUGGUUUGCACAAGGCCAGAUAUUUCACAAUGCUGUUAGCAGGUCAGCCAGGUAUAUGCACACCAGGAAAAGUUAUGGCAGGCCGUGAAAUGGAUUUUACGAUAUAUUCAUGGUACAGUCAAUUGGUGGUUUGAAAUUUCAGAUGGACGACAGUCCAAGUCAAUAUUCAGUGGGUUUAGGUAUUGUUGAUUCAAGACUAUGACGGAGAUCUUGAACAAAAGCGAAAAAUCCACCAAUGGUUAUGUGUUCACUCGGCUGGUGGACCAGUAUGUUGGCGAUCUACUCUUCAGUUACAGUUGCUUGCUCUACUACGAGGCGAGUACAACAUGGCAGAGUGACGAAGCCUUCAGGAAGCAUCUAGCUUCAUGGUUUGAUGAAAUGAAUUUGGGAAUUGAUCAGGAGCAUGUUGAUGUCUAUGCGACAGUCAAAGUGCCAAUUUGUUUAGCUAAACAACAACCAAGUUCAUCAUUCACCACCAAACACAUUGAUGUUCGGUUUCAUUUAUAGCAGAUUCCUGAAUGAAGGAGAUGGUUACUACUUGGAGAAAGAUCAGCACCAAGACACACCCUGCUGAUAUGUUGACGAAAAAGUCGUAUCUGGAAUCAAGUUUUUAAACAUUGUUUGGACUUGAUCAAUAUUUCUGAGCAGCAUGGCGCCUAACGGCGGCAUUGGUAGCAGCAGCACUAAAGUUGGGAGAAAUUUUGCCAAGGUGGAGAUUGUUGAUUAUUUGGCUCAUUCUAGAAGACCCAACAAAGUCUUCCUUUGGCAGCAGCUAAUGUCCUAUUUUGCUGAUUUUGCCCAAAUUGUCUCCAUUUUGAGCUGAUAACGUCUCCAUUUGCAGAUGAUAAAAGUCUUAAUUUUCAACAUGUAGGAGCCAUCUGAGCUCAUCUUCUCUUCUCCUUUGCCUAUAAAAUAGAGAGGUUUGUCUGUGAUUAAGGGCCAAGAUAAUCAGGAGAGUAGAAGGGCAGAGAGCUUGAGAGAAUUCUCUCAAAUUGUAGUUGUUUUGUUUUCUCGUUUCUCUCCAUAUAAUAGAAUUGCUGCCACCCGAGGACGUAGCAACAUGCCCGAACCUCGUAAAUUGUGUGUUUGUGUGGAUUUGUUCGUGUGUGUUAUCAGAAGUUGUUAUUCCGCACCCCCCCCCACACCACUGUCUCUCUUGUUGCUUCAUAAGAAAGAAGAAGAAGAAGAUGGUGCAAGAAAAACUGAUAUAUCGGUGUCGACAAACACUGAAAGGUGAAGGAGGCUUCCGUGCCGGGGCCCACAUGGACCCCCCCCCCCCCCGGCGCAAGCCAAGGCGCUAGAAGAUCGAUGAUGAUGUGCAUGUCGAAGAAGUGAUUAGGAAGAUUACUGAGACGUUUGGAAGGCAGCAUGUUAAAUAUGGAUGUUAAACCAUUGAGGGACUAGUUUCCUAAAUGGUUUGCUUUAACUUUGAGAAAGAAAUUUAUAUUUCCCUUUUUUAACCUUGACGACCUUAUGCUGAUUGGUGUAAUAAACACAAUUGGGUGAAUUCCAUAAUCAUGAUAUCAUCUUCCUUAUCAUUAUAGGAAGCCUAAUUGCCUAAAUCUAUUAUUCAUCCCUACAUUACUAUGCCUGUUUGCUUGUAUUUAAUUUAUAUUGGUGUUCUUUGUGGUUUGUGAAAAAUGUUUAGAGACUUUAGAGCACGAAGAAGAUCAGGCCGGUAUUGCUUCCUUAAUUAAUCUAUCGAUCUAAAGCAAUUCAAUUUUCUUUCUUAUUUGAGAGGAUGAGUUUUCAUUCUCCAACUAGAGGGAUGGAAAGAAAAUAUAGAACAUAGAGGAUGGAAGAAAAUUAUAGAACAUAGAGGAUGAAGAAAAUAUAGAUGACAGUCCUCUAUUGAGAGAAGGAAAUCGAAUCAUUUAAAAUAAUGCAACUUUUAUUGUUGUUAUUCAGUUUUUAUGAAAUCGGUACCUUUCAAAAAAAAAUAUUAACGAAAACAAAUCUGAAUGUAUUUAAUAGAAAAAAAAAAAUGAAUUAUAGAGAAAAAUUAGUGGGGGGGAUGAAACAAUUGAGUGAGAAAAACAAUGUAAAAUUUGGAAGGAAAACUAAGAAAUAAGUAAUUUUUAGAUAUAAAUGAGUGUGUUUUCUCACAAAAAGAAAAAAAAUAGGAUUAAAAUGAGAGAAGUCUGCGUUGAGUUAAAAUAUACAUGGAAACAUCUCUAAACGCACUAUGAAUAAAAUACUAUUUUGACUGUACUUGAGUAAAUUUUAAAUCAGGCACCAGCCAAACUGAGAUCUCUAAACAGGCAUUCAAAUUAUCAAACCUUAUAUUAUAAUAACAAAACCACAAAUCAAGAACUAGGGGAUGUCCAAAAAAAUUAAAAAAUCGGUGAACCGAACCGACCAAACCGAAUCAUGUUUUUUGGAUUGGGUUUUCCCCUUUUUUUUAUGGUUAAUGGUUAGGUUCUGAUUUUAAAAAUUAAGAACGGUAAAUUUAGG